rnacentral:rRNA from 1 species
GACGUAGGUGGCGACCGUUAUCCGGAAUCAUUGGGCGUAAAGGGUGCGUAGAUGGCAUGAUAAGUUAUUAGUGGGAAAUCGAGGCUCAACCUCGUGGAAGCUAGUAAUACUGUUUUGCUUGAGUGCAGAAGAGGUUAACGGAAUUCCAUGUGGAGCGGUAAAAUGUGUAGAUAUAUGGAAGAACAUCAAUAACGGCGAAGGCAGUUAACUAUUCUGCUACUGACAUUGAGGCACGAAAGCGUGGGGAGCAAAACGG